UACGAAGGGGGCUAGCGUUGCUCGGAAUUACUGGGCGUAAAGGGCGCGUAGGCGGACAUUUAAGUCAGAGGUGAAAGCCUAGGGCUCAACCUUGGAAUUGCCUUUGAUACUGGAUGUCUUGAGUUCGGGAGAGGUGAGUGGAAUGCCGAGUGUAGAGGUGAAAUUCGUAGAUAUUCGGCGGAACACCAGUGGCGAAGGCGACUCACUGGCCCGAUACUGACGCUGAGGCGCGAAAGCGUGGGGAGCAAACAGG
rnacentral:rRNA from 1 species